ensembl:lncRNA
AUGACUGAAAACAUUCAUGUGAAAAGAGAGAGUGUCCUGAAGGCCCUCAUCGUUUUCCUGGGGGAAAAUCCUCAAGAUCUUAUCAAGGAGUACCUUGAGAACCAGCAAGAUGAUUGCGAGGGUGAGCUGGAGCAGCUCAUCAUGGCGGUGUAUGUUAUUCGGAAGGAGGGGGGACAUCACGAACCACCGGCCGACAUGGGUGUCGUCAUCGAGGGUGUCAAAGUUCUGAAUGAGCUGCCUUUUGUUCACAUCAGCUUGUGCCUUGCUUCUCGGGAUGAUACAUCAUCCAUCUGGCUUAUCCAAAACCACUUCGGUUUACAUUCGAGGUAUUCCAGAAAGUUCUCUUGCAGCUCGAUCAGCACAAGAUGUCACCAAAAGUUCAAAGUCUUUUCAGGAGACUACAGUGAACUUGCAGUAAUGUUUAAAUGUGCAUGUGUUUGAAAGAAUGUCUCUGUUUUAGUUGGAUGUUUCAUGUGUUCUUAUUGUAAGACUGUCCAUUUGCAUUACCUGUAAGCUGUUCUAAAGCACUUUUAAAUACACUUAUAUGGUUCUAUUUUAAGAAUAUAUUAAAGGGAUAGUUCACCUAAAAAUGGUUCAAGUUGUUCCAAACCUGCAUGAGUUUGUUUCUUCUGCUGAACACAAAAUAAGAUGUGUUGAAAAAUGUUGGUAACCAGACAGUUGACCGUAACCAUUGACUUUCAGUCUUUUUUUUUUUUUUUUUUUCUUCUGCUGCAAGUCGAUGGGUACAGUCAACUGUCUGGUUACCAACAUUUUUCAACACAUCUUAUUUUGUGUUUAGCAAAAGAAAGAAACUCAUACAGGUUUGGAACAACUUGAACCAUUUUUGAGUGAUCUACCCCUUUAAUUGUUUUUAGGUGGCUCAUUUAAGAGCAUAACCACUUUUUAUAUUUCUUUUUAUAAAAAUAUGCAGUGCAAAGACAACUUUGCAAAAAGACUGUUAUGGAUGUAAAGUGUGUCAGUAAAUGAAAUUUCAUUUGCACAACAAAUAUGAACAGUUUGUAAUGAUUUAUUAAAGUUUGUAAUAUGGAAAACACUGUUAGCGUAUAAAUGAAUUAAUGGUACUAAAUAUCUCUAAAGCAAUUUGAGUCUUGUGUGAUUGACCUAGUGAAAUUACGUUGAGAAAAUAUAAUUUAAGUUGAGGAAACAUAAUUUUUUUAGGUGUUACCAAUUGAAGUAAUUUUUUUAAGUUGAUCUAACUGUAGUAAAAAUUAAUAUAUUUAAGUUGGAAUGCAGAGAAAUUAAGUUAGACUAAUGUAAAUAAUUGGAUUGAAUGAACUCAAAUAAUAUAAGUGUGAUUAUUUAUAUAUUAUUGCACUUGUUGUUUCUGAUGAGAUUUAAUUUGCAUAAUUCAGUCAGCGAGUGAGUGCACUGAACAAAACAGUGAUGACUCAUCUGAACCCCUCGGAUUGGCCAUUGAAUU